GAGAGCGUUUUUAACCUCCCCGCCAUAAACUUUAAUCGGAUUCCGGGCUGUUGCACGGUAUGGACGCUCGCCUCUUGCUUGCGUCUCCUUCCCCGUUGUCUCCCGUGUCUACUUUUACUACGGCCUGUUCUGCGAGAGCCUCUUUCAAGCGAAUGAGUGAUUUCUUUCUCUUGCCAUGUGCAAUCGCUCCCCCUUCCCUUCCUACCCUCGCUGGCCUCUCUUACACACACUAUGCCUUUCACACGCGGUCUGCACCCCCAGCCCCCCCUCCCUUUCUUUCUUUUUUGUAGUGUCUUCACAUGCAAUCUCUCUCUGAAUGUGCAAUGCCUUUCCUGCUCGGGAGUGCUGCGUCCUUCACAGUGGAUUGGUUCCUCUUUCGGAGCAGAGAAUUUCGAGCUAGAUAAUACACCAUAGAAGUUACUGACAGAGCAGAAUUAAUCUGUGUUGGAUAACACUGGUUAAAUCUCACAUGAUUAUAAUUGCUUAUUCUUAAAGUCGUAUCUGAGGAGAGCAUAAAAGAUCGGACAUAUCUUCAUGAAUCUACUGUAUCAGCUGCCUGUUGAGCAGAAGAGAAAAUAUCCCAGCAAGAUGGCAACUCUGCUGAGUUCUGAAUAAGAACCUUUGAUAUCGUAAUUCAAACACUGUUAUGGAUAAUUGAAUUCUGUGAUGCUCUAUGCCUUUGUGUAAGUUAAUGCCAAUAUAUGUUACUGACUAUACCUAAAAUGAAAUUUAUAAAUCUACACAUAUAAAUACUUGCUUAUUUGGGACCUUUAAUGUUUCUGUCUACUUUAUCAAAAACAAUUACUACUCUCUGGCUGAAAUAAGAGUCAUAUAAAUACACAGUUAUUCUAAAUUAGGGAAAUAAAUAUGGUGGCAAAAUCAUUUAGAAUGGGACCAAGCUGUUGGUUGCUUAUUGGACAGGCUAUUUGGGUUUGUUCUGCAAUGAUUAAAAGUGCUUUACUAGGUAUUUUAUAAUGUUAAAACUUGCCAUUUCUUUUCAUAUGAAAAGUGAAACAUUAGAAUCCUUAGAGACUGUAUUGCUGUAAGCCUUAUU